rnacentral:tRNA from 1 species
GUUUUUGUAGUUGAAUACAACAGUGGUUUUUCAAGUCACGGGUCUUGGUUAGAGUCCGAGCAAAAAUU